UCUGCUUUCAGCCCAGGAGGCUGUACCUCAGGCUCCAUCAACUGUGGAAUGAGGGAGGAAAGGGGUGGCGGUUGCCACUGAGGAGCAGGCGCUGAGACGGAACAGUACAGCCAGAAUGAGUGCCAGCCCUGGUCUGCUGUCAAAACCAGUGAGAAGCAAGAGGCACAACUGAUGCUCACAUACAGGGACCCGGAAGUGCCACGGGUCUAUUUGGCAUCCAAAAACACAGGGAUUCUGUGGAGGACUCUCCAUGGAAAAGAUCUUGCUUGGGACUGCUGAUGCAGUGUGACAAGUGAACCUCGGGCACCUGCCACCAGGGUGGACUGUGUUUCCGCUGGGACUGGAAGUCCAAAUAGAACCCUUUCUGCCUUAAGCCGCCUUUGUCGGAUAUCCUAUCACAGCAACAAGAAAGGAACUAACACAGACUCUGAAUCUCUGAGUUAAAGCCCCCCCUUUUUCUCAUGAAGGGCCAGAGCAAUGAGCCAUAGACUAAGACACACCUACACAGAACUGAAAGCAGCUGGGAUCUGAAAUAAUCUAAUCCUAAUCCCCUAUAAACACAGAGCAGUCUGAGGGCCAGGAUCUUUCAUUCUUGCCUCAGGUCCACUAGGCUUACUGUGACAUAACGGACAGUGGCUUGAAUAUCCUGCUGGUUUGUAGGCCUUUCAGUGAAACUCAUAUGUCUACCCUGCAACUUUAUUAAAGUAGAAUCGCUAAGAUCUAGUGAAGAAAUGUAUAGGGCUGAAGAGGGGCUUAGUGGUUAAAAUCACUUGCUGCUGUUUCAGAGAACCUGGGUUUGGUUCCCACCAUCGACAUGAUGGCUCACAGUCAUCUGGAACUCCACUUUCAGAGUAUUCAAUGACCUUGUCUCCUCUACAAGCACCAGAGUUCAAGGUCAGCCUUAGGUACAAACUAAGUUCAAGGCCAGCCUAGACUACUUGUGAU